AUGACAAGAAGGAGUGGGACACAGCAUGAGACACUAGACAAAAGCGCCCUGGGCCCAGCCCGUGAUCUCAGGGAAGUCACUGCUCAUGUGGGCCUCAUUUUCAAGUCUGUACCUUUAAGGGUUGGAAAUGACAGGAAAUUCCGAUAUGGUCACUCACUGGCCUACAACCUCACCGUGGUCUCUUGUUAAACUUAGCCUCGGACAAGUGCCUCAUGUGGGCCCAAGCGUUAGGGGCCUUCACAGUGGCUUCGAGGGAGUCCAGCCUCCUGGUGGGAACAUCCUUGUGUGUCCUCUGAGUGCUCAGUAACUGGCUUCUGAACAACAUAGAGGACGGCCCAGCUGAUGGGGUGUCAGAUUGUUGCAGUGGUGGUGUCAGUGAACUAUGGCCCUUCCGGUAGAACCAGGGCUGUGUACCUUGUUUCCGUACCGUCCUGUUCCAGUGGAACCAUUGCCUCUUCCUAAGCUGAGUUUGACUGAUUGUUGCAGUGGUGGUGUCAGUGAACUAUGGCCUUCCGGUAGAACCAGGGCUGUGUACCUUGUUUCCGUACCGUCCUGUUCCAGUGGAACCAUUGCCUCUUCCUAAGCUGAGUUUGACUGGCCACUGAUGGGUGUGUCAGAGUUCUUUCCGUGGGACAGAGUGAAAGAAUUGCCACCAACAACCGCCGCACGUCCAGCUACCCUGUCUGCAGAGCCAGGGAGCAGGUGAGACCUGCCAUGGCUUGUCCCCAUAGCAGUGCUAUGAGGUUGACCAAGCAGCAGCCCACAUUUCAGAGGAGCAUCCUGAGACUCGGGAAGAUGUGGUGACGUUUCAGCCUCAGAGCUAGCAGUGGGCAGAGUCACGAGUGUGUGCUCACCUAGUGAAAAGCUCGUCCAGGAACCGCUGG